UGAUGCAGCCAUGCCGCGUGUAUGAAGAAGGCCUUCGGGUUGUAAAGUACUUUCAGCGAGGAGGAAGGCAUUGUGGUUAAUAACCACAGUGAUUGACGUUACUCGCAGAAGAAGCACCGGCUAACUCCGUGCCAGCAGCCGCGGUAAU
rnacentral:rRNA from 1 species